GACGAACGCUGGCGGCGUGCUUAACACAUGCAAGUCGAACGGUAAGGCCCUUCGGGGUACACGAGUGGCGAACGGGUGAGUAACACGUGGGUGAUCUGCCCUGCACUUCGGGAUAAGCCUGGGAAACUGGGUCGAAUACCGGAUAGGACUCCGGACUGCAUGGUCUGGGGUGGAAAGCUGUUGCGGUGUGGGAUGGGCCCGCGGCCUAUCAGCUUGUUGGUGGGGUGAUGGCCUACCAAGGCGACGACGGGUAGCCGGCCUGAGAGGGUGACCGGCCACUCUGGGACUGAGGAACGGCCCAGACUCGUACGGGAGGCAGCAGUGGGGAAUAUUGCACAAUGGGCGCAAGCCUGAUGCAGCGACGCCGCGUGAGGGAUGACGGCCUUCGGGUUGUAAACCUCUUUCAGCAUCGACGAAGCGAAAGUGACGGUAGGUGCAGAAGAAGGACCGGCCAACUACGUGCCAGCCGCCGCCGUAA
rnacentral:rRNA from 1 species